rnacentral:lncRNA from 12 species
UGGAACUAGAAACACCUUUUUCCAAGACAGGUGCUUGAGCAGCCUUGAGCACAGCAGCCUCACACUGGAAGGGUAGAGAGACAGCGGAGAGGCUUCCUAAAAUUCUUUUUUUUUUUUUUUUUCUAAAAUUCUUUUAUCCACUGAGCAUCCUUACUGUGCAUCACGUGCCGAGGGAUUAUACGUGGAAUCAAGGUGCUUAAGAGUUUGAAAAGAGUUUGGGACCCACUGAGCUGCCUGGCAAAUCAAGAUGUGACUACAGUACCUGACAAACAUUAAUUUAGCAGCGCCCAUUAAGAAGUAAGCCCCAUGGGGAAGGGAAUUUUGCACGUUAGACUAGUAUUAUGGUUACAAUAAGAACAAAGACAGCAACGAUAGCAGCUACUCCCUAUUGAGGACCUGUGAUGCAUAGCACAAUGGUCCAGUUUUCAAAUAUUAGCUCAUUUAAUCUUUCACCAGCCUUAUGAUAUAGAUAUGAUCCUCAUUUCAUGGCUGAGGAAACUGUGACUUGGAUUGGAAAAUCAACUUGCCUGACAUCACACAGAGCUGAAGGCUUAGAGGAGCAAAGAUGAAACCCGAAUCAGCCAUUGAAGAGCAGGGAAAUGGAGAAUGGAGAAGUGCUUUACCAAUUAGAAGAUACCGGCUGAAUCUUCUGGCCCUGAAAGGUAAAAAGCUAUAGCUACAAAGAGUAGGUACACUAAAAUACACCACAGAGAGCAUUACUGGUCAUGUUGAGAAACCUGGAUUUUAUAGUACAGGCAAAGGCAAAUUAUGGAAUAUUUUGAUAAGGGGAAGUGACAUGAUGAAAAUUAUGAGUUAGGGGAACUGAUCUGGCAACAAAGUACAGCCUAAGUGCCUAGAGGCAAGGAGAUAAAUGCAGAGUCUAAUGCCUGAUGAUCUAGAAAAUAGACUCUAAGAUUCCAUCACUUAUAAAAAGCACUUAUGUACCCCAAAGAAAAAUUCCUAUCAGUAAAAUGGUAACAAAAUGAUGUAUCAUUUUAUAAUUUUAUUUUAUGCACAUCGAAUUGCUCUUAUAUACUUACUUGGACAUUGUUUUUAUUUUUAUCAUGUAUGACUUUUGAGCAUUUAUAAAAAUAUGAGCCAAAUGAAUUGAUUAAGGCCAUAGUUCCCAAAACAUGUAGCAGGCUUCCUUGAGGAACUUAGAGUGAUAUCAUGGGAUGGUUUAUAUUUUCAAAGGAAAACAGUGAUACUUGGACAUG